UACGUAGGGUGCGAGCGUUGUCCGGAAUUAUUGGGCGUAAAGGGCUCGUAGGCGGCUUGUUACGUCGUUCGUGAAAACCCGAGGCUCAACCUCGGGCUUGCGGUCGAUACGGGCAGGCUAGAGUUCGGUAGGGGAGACUGGAAUUCCUGGUGUAGCGGUGAAAUGCGCAGAUAUCAGGAGGAACACCGAUGGCGAAGGCAGGUCUCUGGGCCGAUACUGACGCUGAGGAGCGAAAGCGUGGGGAGCGAACAGG
rnacentral:rRNA from 1 species